rnacentral:rRNA from 1 species
UACAGAGGUGGCAAGCGUUGUUCGGAAUUACUGGGCGUAAAGGGCGCGUAGGCGGUUCGAUAAGUCCCGUGUGAAAUCCCUCGGCUCAACUGAGGAAUGGCACGGGAAACUGACGGCUUGAGUUCGGGAGAGGGAAGCGGAAUUCCGGGUGUAGCGGUGAAAUGCGUAGAUAUCCGGAGGAACACCGGUGGCGAAGGCGGCUUCCUGGACCGACACUGACGCUGAGGCGCGAAAGCUAGGGGAGCAAACGGG